rnacentral:rRNA from 1 species
UACGUAGGGCGCAAGCGUUGUCCGGAAUUAUUGGGCGUAAAGAGCUCGUAGGUGGUUUGUCGCGUCUGUUGUGAAAGCCCGGGGCUUAACUCCGGGUUUGCAGUGGAUACGGGCAGGCUAGAGUUCGGUAGGGGAGACUGGAAUUCCUGGUGUAGCGGUGAAAUGCGCAGAUAUCAGGAGGAACACCGAUGGCGAAGGCAGGUCUCUGGGCCGAUACUGACGCUGAGGAGCGAAAGCGUGGGGAGCGAACAGG